rnacentral:rRNA from 1 species
AUUGAACGCUGGCGGCAGGCCUAACACAUGCAAGUCGAACGAGUGGCGGACGGGUGAGUAAUGUCUGGGAAACUGCCUGCUGGCGGGGGAUAACUACUGGAACCGGUAGCUAAUACCGCAUACCCUCAGAUGUGCACAGAUGGGAUUAGCUAGUUGGUGGGGUAACGGCUCACCAAGGCGACGAGCCCUAGCUGGUCUGAGAGGAUGACCAGCGACACUGGAACUAAGACACGGUCCAUACUCCUAAGGGAGGCAGCAGUGGGGAAUAUUGCACAAUGUGCGCAAGCCUGAUGCAGCCAUGCCGCGUGUAUGAAGAAGGCCGUCGGGUUGUAAAGUACUUUCAGCGGGGAGGCGUUACCCGCAGAAGAAGCACCGGCUAACUCCGUGCCAGCAGCCGCGGUAAUUC